rnacentral:lncRNA from 1 species
CAAUUUGUGUCACACAUUUGGUUGAUCAACUUGUACCAUUUAAUUUCCAUGCCAAAUGAUCUUUGAUGAUCAUGUUGGAUGUGUUGAAUGCUCAUGAUUUUUUCCAGAAUUAUUUGAAUCAUUUCUGUUUUGAUUUGGAAUUUUCAUUCAUGAUGAUCAUAUGUGAGAUUUGAAAUUGUCUUUGACUUAUUUUGAUCAUGAAAUGAAUUGCUUGAUGAUUUUGAUGUGAUCCUUUUUAGGACAUUUUAAUAUGUGUUUG